rnacentral:rRNA from 1 species
UCAAGCUAAUAAGGGCGCAAGGGGGAUGCCUUGGCAUUGGUAGCCGAUGAAGGACGUAGCGAUCUACGAUAAGCCACGGGAAGUCGAAAGCAGGCAAUGAUCCGUGGAUUUCCGAAUGGGGAAACCCGGCAGAGCAAUACUCUGUCAACUCCUUGUGAAUAAAAUAGCAUUGAGUAGGGAACCUCCUGAACUGAAACAUCUAAGUAGGGAGAGGAAAAGAAAUCAACCGAGAUUCCGCUAGUAGUGGCGAGCGAACGCGGAAGAGGCCAAACCAAGAGUAGUAAUACUUUUGGGGUUCGGACUGAGUACGGUAUUGACAAAGGUUAGUGGAAUGAAAUGGGAAGUUCAACCAUAGAGCGUGAGAGUCGCGUAUACGAAAACUUGAGUCAGCCAUCAGUAUCCAGAGUACCGCCGGACACGUGAAACCCGGUGGGAAUACGGGGGGACCACCCUCCAAGCCUAAAUACUCACCAAUGACCGAUAGUGUAUAGUACUGUGAAGGAAAGGUGAAAAGAACCCCUGGCGGGGAGUGAAAAAGAACCUGAAACCUUGUGCCUACAAGCACAUAGAGCACAUCAACGUGUGAUAUGGUACCUUUUGUAGAAUGGUCCGGCGAGUGAAUGUCACUAGCGAGGUUAAGGACUUAAGGUCUGCAGCCGAAGCGAAAGCGAGUCUUAAUAGGGCGCUAAUAGUUAGUGGUAUUCGACCCGAAACCGAGUGACCUAGCCAUGAGCAGGCUGAAGUGGAGGUAAAACUCCAUGGAGGGCCGAACCCACUCCCGUUGAAAUGGUAGGGGAUGACUUGUGGCUAGCGGAGAAAUUCCAAUCGAACUCGGAGAUAGCUGGUUCUCUCCGAAAUAGCUUUAGGGCUAGCCUCAAAUAACAUUACCGCAGGUAAAGCACUGAAUGGGCUAGGGGGCGAAAGCUUACUGAACCCUAUCAAACUAAGAAUGGCGGAUAAUGAAUAUUUGGGAGUCACACUACGUGAGAUAAGUUUCGUGGUGGAAAGGGAAACAGCCCAGACCCACAGCUAAGGUCCCAAAGUACAGUUAAGUGGAAAAGGAUGUGAAGUUGCGCAGACAACCAGGAUGUUGGCUCAGAAGCAGCCACUCAUUCAAAGAGUGCGUAAUAGCUCACUGGUCGAGUGAUUUUGCGCCGAAAAUUUAACGGGGCUAAACUGUACACCGAAGCUUGGGAAUAUACCUCUGGUAUGUUGGUAGGAGAGCGUCGUAUGCGGGGUGAAGUCGUAGCGAAAGCGGCGGUGGACUGCAUAGGAGUGAGAAUGCCGGAAUGAGUAGCGAGAAUUAUGUGAGAAUCAUAAUGGCCGAAAGACUAAGGUUUUAGAAGGAAGGUUCGUCCGCUUCUAGUUAGCCGGGAGCUAAGGCGAGGCCGAAAGGCGUAGUCGAUGCACAUACGGUUGAGAUUCCGUAGCCACCUUAAAUUUAAACUAAGGGACACAUUGAAAGGGAAUAACCCAGGCGUUGGUUGACCUGGGCGUAAGGGAACGAAAAUAAGUAGUGAAGUAUUCUUGGACAGUGGCGAGAAAAGCUUAGUGUAUAUUAUUAGGGUGCCCGUACUGCAAACCGACACAGGUAGUCAGGAAGAGAAUUCUAAGGCCAUCGGGAGAAGCGUUGUUAAGGAACUCGGCAAAUUGACCCCGUAACUUCGGAAUAAGGGGUGCUCACGCGAGUGAGCCGCAGUGAAUAGGUCCAGGCAACUGUUUAUCAAAAACACAGCUCUCUGCUAAAUCGUAAGAUGACGUAUAGGGGGUGACACCUGCCCGGUGCUGGAAGGUUAAGAGGAGGAGUGCAAGCCCCGAAUCGAAGCCCCAGUAAACGGCGGCCGUAACUAUAACGGUCCUAAGGUAGCGAAAUUCCUUGUCGGGUAAGUUCCG